rnacentral:tRNA from 1 species
GGCCUGAUAGCUCAGCUGGUGGACCACUGCACCGGCAUUGCAGAGACUGCGGUCCAAAUCCCUGUUCAGGCCU